GCAGUCAAGCGGCCGACGCCUCCGGAGCGCCGAACGCCCGGCGCCGACGCUUGUCGCCUCAAACGUCGACGUCGACGGCGGCGGCGACGACGCACGCCGACGCCAACGUAUCGUGCCGCCCGAGUCCCGGGUCCUCGGCGGAUCGUAAAAUGGUGAGAAAAGAACUACGCGGAGAACCUCGUUUUGGCAGCAUGACAAAGUACGAGUAAUACAAUUAUUUUACAAUAUUCAUUUGUUUAUUUCUCAUAACACUUGCUAGUGCUAUUGUUCACCAUUAGUCGUUUAUUUUGUUAUAGAGUUCUUUAUAGACGAGCUUAUACGCCCCGAUAAUCGUAUUUUACAUUGGCGCAAUCACCGUCUUUCCCUAUAUAUUUCUUUACAAUUAUUUUAUUAAUUCAAUUGCAACAAUAAUUUUAAUUGCAACGUUCGUCGACCAUUCGAAAUUAGUUAUUACGAUCUCGCUCAUCACUGUGAGAUUACAAUUUUACAAUGUGAAUUAACAUGUCACCGUUCAAGAAACAUGUGGUGACCGAUAAUAUAAUUUUUUCACGAGUUUUAUUACGCUACCUCCUCUCUGUUCAUUUUUUUUAUCGCCCGCAGAUAAUUAAAUUACAAGAGCGCAUUUGUUAACACCGUGAAACAUCUUCGUUUGGCGAUAC